ACCCGCCAGUUAAAACAAAUCCCUAAAACAAAAAACAUAUCCCCAUACACUUAAGUAGCAAUGACUUCAUGAGCUUCUUGUAUAAUAAAAUUAUUACUAUUAGAGAGAAAAUUAAUCACCAACUGCCAUCAACAGUUAUCAGUGGCUCUCCAAGUUCAGGGAGUUCUGCCAAUGUAAACUUAGAUAUAUAUUUAAACUGUUUUUCUGCUAUCGAUCUUCAUCAGUUAACUUCAAUCAUUUCUUCAUCAAAGCCAUCAACUAUUAGACCCGAUCCCAACUAGGCUGCUUAAAGAAGUUGUUCCCUUAAUUGGCACUUCUUUACUGGAUAUGAUUAAUCUUUCUUUAUUAUCAGGAUAUGUACCACAGUCCUUUAAAGUAGCUGUAAUUAAACCCCUUCUUAAAAAGCCCACUCUUGACCCAGGGGUUUUAGCCAACUAUAGACCGAUUUCUAACCUCCCCUUCCUCUCUAAGAUUCUGGAGAAAGUAGUCGCCAAAGAGUUGUGUGACUUUUUACAUAACAAUAGUUUAUUUGAGGAUUUUCAAUCAGGAUUUAGAGUUCAUCACAGCACAGAGACAGCUCUGGUUAAAGUUAAUAAUGACCUUCUGAUUGCUUCAGACAAUGGACUUGUCUCUGUACUUGUAUUAUUAGAUCUUAGUGCUGCAUUUGACACCAUUGACCAUAAUAUUCUUUUACAGAAACUUGAGCAUCAAAUUGGCAUUAAAGGAACCGCACUAACCUGGUUUAAGUCAUAUUUAUCAGAUCGCUCGCAGUUUGUACAUGUUAACAAUGAAUCUUCAAUAAAUACUACAGUUAGUCAUGAGUUCCACAAGGUUCUGUACUUGGACCAAUACUAUUUACUUUAUAUAUGCUCCCUUUAGGCAACAUUAUUAGGAAUCACUCCAUUAACUUUCACUGUUAUGCAGAUGAUACACAGUUAUAUCUAUCAAUCAAGCCCGAUGAAAUUAAUCAAUUAUCUAAAUUACAAACAUGUCUUAAGGACAUAAAAUCCUGGAUGACCUGCAAUUUUCUGAUGUUAAACUCAGAAAAAAACUAAAUUCUUGUUCUUGGCCCCAAAAACCUUAGAGACUCACUGUCUAAAGAUAUAGUUACUCUAGAUGGCAUUAACUUGGCCUCUAGCACCACUGUCAGGAAUCUUGGAGUUAUCUUUGAUCAGGAUUUGUCAUUUAACUCCCACAUAAAGCCGACCUCUAGGACCGCCUUCUUUCAUUUACGUAAUAUUAGAAAUAUUGGACACAUACUAUCACAGACAGAUGCAGAAAAACUAAUCCAUGCAUUUGUUACUUCAAGGCUGGAUUACUGCAACUCUUUAUUAUCAGGUUGCCCCAAUAAGUCCAUUAAAACGCUCCAAUUAAUUCAGAACGCUGCAGCACGACUACUGACAGGAACUAGAAAAAGAGAUCACAUCUCUCCUGUACUAGCUUCUCUGCAUUGGCUCCCUGUAAAAUGUAGAAUAGAAUUUAAAAUCCUCCUCCUCACCUAUAAAGCUCUUCAUGGUCAGGCCCCUUCAUAUCUUAAAGAGCUCAUAGUACCCUAUUACCCCACUAGAACACUACGUUCUCUGAAUGCUGGGCUACUUAUGGUUCCUAUAGUCUCUAAAAGUAGAACAGGAGCCAGAGCCUUCAGUUACCAAGCUCCUCUCCUGUGGAACCAGCUUCCAGUUGUGGUUCUGGAGGCAGACACCCUCACCACAUUCAAGAGUAGGCUUAAGACAUUCCUCUUUGAUAAAGCUUAUAGUUAGGGCUGGAUCAGGUGAGUCCUGAACCAUCCCUUAGUUAUGCUCCUAUAGGCCUAGACUAUCGGGGGAUUUCCCAUGGUGCACUGAGCUCCUCCCUUCCUCUCUCUUUCUGCACUCAUUCAUGUUCCAUUAAUGCAUGUUACUAACUUCACUUCUUCCCCGGAGUUCUUGUGCUUUCUCGUCUCGCAGGUUCUUGUCGAUCCUGGUGGAGCCUCCUGCCAUGGUCCUGCUAGAUUGCCAUUGCCAAUACUGUUGUUGCUGUGCACCUGUCUGCCUGUCUGUCUCUCGCUCUCUCUCUCUCUCUCUCUCUCUCUCACCCCAACUGGUCGAGACAGACGACCACCCACCUAGAGCCGGAGGAUCUGUCCUAGGUUUCUGCCUUUUAACAGGCAGUUUUUCCUUGCCCUUGUCGCCAAGUGCUUGCUCAUGGUGGUACUGUUGGGUCUCUGUAAUUAAUGUUAAAGAGUUCGGUCUAGACCUGCUCUAUUUGAAAAGUGUCCUGAGAUAACUUCUGUUAUGAAUUGGCGCUAUACAAAUAAAAUUGAAUUGAAUUGAA